AGCGAACGCUGGCGGCAGGCCUAACACAUGCAAGUCGAACGAAGUCUUCGGACUUAGUGGCGGACGGGUGAGUAACACGUAGGAACGUGCCUUUAGGUUCGGAAUAACUCAGGGAAACUUGUGCUAAUACCGAAUGUGCCCUUCGGGGGAAAGAUUUAUCGCCUUUAGAGCGGCCCGCGUCUGAUUAGCUAGUUGGUGAGGUAAAGGCUCACCAAGGCGACGAUCCGUAGCUGGUCUGAGAGGAUGAUCAGCCACAUUGGGACUGAGACACGGCCCAAACUCCUACGGGAGGCAGCAGUGGGGAAUCUUGCGCAAUGGGCGAAAGCCUGACGCAGCCAUGCCGCGUGAAUGAUGAAGGUCUUAGGAUUGUAAAAUUCUUUCACCGGGGACGAUAAUGACGGUACCCGGAGAAGAAGCCCCGGCUAACUUCGUGCCAGCAGCCGCCGUAACAC
rnacentral:rRNA from 1 species